GGCCAUGGUCACUCACAUGGAGGUAGUGAUGGGGGGGGGUUGUGUUCUGGCCAUGGUCACUCACAUGGAGGUAGUGAUGGGGGUUGUGUUCUGGCCAUGGUCACUCACAUGGAGGUAGUGAUGGGGGGAGGGGGGGGGGGGUUGUGUUCUGGCCAUGGUCACUCACAUGGAGGUAGUGAUGGGGGUUGUGUUCUGGCCAUGGUCACUCACAUGGAGGUAGUGAUGGGGAGGGGUUAUGUUUUGAUGGUACGUGUUACGCUACUGAUCUUUUAAGAUAAUGACAUACACACUUUUUUGUGUUUUUUUCAUCCAGAUCUUUUAAAGUCUCUUCCGUUUUCUUCACAAACAGCAACCUUGUUUCUUCGUCUGAGUCAUGAAUAAUAUAUUGUUAAGUAUUUUUGGAAUCUUUUUUUUUUUUUUGUAAAUACAAAAACCGUAAAAAGAAAAAUAAUACAUGUAAAGUUGUCAUGAUGAAUAUUGUUAUAUUACACUUAAGAAAACAAAACCUGUACCUUUUUUAAUAUUGUGACCUUUUAUUAAAAGUGCAUUGGACACAGCAGUUCUCGGGGUGUGUAAUGUGUGGUUGUCCCAGAAUUAAAAUGGCAGCUUUGAGAGAAGCUAGCAAUCA